rnacentral:rRNA from 1 species
UACGGAGGGUGCAAGCGUUAUCCGGAUUCACUGGGUUUAAAGGGUGCGUAGGAGGGCAGGUAAGUCAGUGGUGAAAUCCCCGAGCUUAACUUGGGAACUGCCGUUGAUACUAUCUGUCUUGAAUACCGUGGAGGUGAGCGGAAUAUGUCAUGUAGCGGUGAAAUGCUUAGAUAUGACAUAGAACACCAAUUGCGAAGGCAGCUCGCUACACGAAUAUUGACUCUGAGGCACGAAAGCGUGGGGAGUCAAAACAGG